UACAGAGGGGGCAAGCGUUGUUCGGAAUUACCGGGCGUAAAGGGCGCGUAGGCGGCCUUCUAAGUCGAACGUGAAAUCCCCGGGCUCAACCCGGGAACUGCGUCCGAUACUGGAAGGCUUGAAUCCGGGAGAGGGAUGCGGAAUUCCAGGUGUAGCGGUGAAAUGCGUAGAUAAUCUGGAGGAACACCGGUGGCGAAGGCGGCGAAUCCUGGGACCGGCAUUGACGCUGAGGCGCGAAAGCCAGGGAGCGGAACGGG
rnacentral:rRNA from 1 species